UACGUAGGGGGCUAGCGUUGUCCGGAUUUAUUGGGCGUAAAGAGCGUGUAGGCGGCCAGGUAGGUCUGCUGUGAAAACUCGAGGCUCAACCUCGAGACGUCGGCGGAAACCAUCUGGCUAGAGUCCGGAAGAGGAGAGUGGAAUUCCUGGUGUAGCGGUGAAAUGCGCAGAUAUCAGGAAGAACACCCGUGGCUAAGGCGGUUCUCUAGUACGGUACUGACGCUGAGACGCGAAAGCGUGGGGAGCGAACAGG
rnacentral:rRNA from 1 species